rnacentral:rRNA from 1 species
UACGGAGGAUCCGAGCGUUAUCCGGAAUUAUUGGGUUUAAAGGGUCCGUAGGCGGGCGGUUAAGUCAGUGGUGAAAGUCUGUAGCUCAACUAUAGAACUGCCUUUGAUACUGACCGUCUUGAGUUAUGGUGAAGUUGCCGGAAUAUGUAGUGUAGCGGUGAAAUGCAUAGAUAUUACAUAGAACACCGAUUGCGAAGGCAGGUGACUAACCAUAUACUGACGCUGAUGGACGAAAGCGUGGGGAGCGAACAGG